rnacentral:lncRNA from 1 species
CGGAGUUUCCCACUUUCAGUUCCAGUUCCCUUGUGUUCACCCCACAGCUCUGUCUCCCCAAGAGCCUGAAGAGGGAUUGAGGUGGUCCUUGCUUCCUCCCCAAGCCCCACAGUGAGGAUGUUGAGCUGCCCCCAGUCCCUCCCACCCCUUGCUGUGUGGACUGCCCAGGAUGUGACAUCGAUAAGUGGGUGUCAGAAGAGAGAGACUUAUUUGGGGCUUGGGUGGGGUAGCACUCUGGUGCCUCAAAGCAGGAGCCUCUUCACCAAUUAAUAAGGGUUUGGGUUUCUCUUGGGCUAGAAUGAAUGCGCUUCUGAUCUGGGGGUGAGAGGAAGGGAGUGUUUCUUUCCAUCCUCUGGCCACGCAGUUUCCCUGGGUUUCCAGGGUGUGGGGAAUGCAUCUCUGGUGGCCUGUCCCUGGUAGGCCUGUGGUUGGCGUUGAAGUGGGUGGAAAUGUUCAAGUGUUCUGGUGAUUCUGGGUCCUCAUUGUGGGGUGUGUCUGUGUCCUCAGAGCCCCUCUCUCUCUCGCCCUUGAAACCCUACCCUGUGGCUCUGUUCCUCCGUCCUGCCUUCCCCACACCCACCCAACUUGCUUGUUUUACUUGCUCUCCUCUCUCCCUGAAACCUGGAAAUUUUGGAAUGUCCCCCGGACCAGAGAUGCCACUGAAUCCUCCUGAAUGCACAUUGAGCUCUGAUUUCCCCCCUCCCCCACUGAUUUCCAUACCUGACUGUGUCCUGGAUGUGUGCCUUGCACUUGUUGGAUGAUUAAAUAUUUUAUGUGAAUUUUGUCACGACCUGUGCAGCAUCAACAAAGGAUCUCGAGCAGGAGAGACUGGGGAUGGAGAAAAAUGCAGAGACAUUUUUAAGCAAACCUGGGGCCAGGUGGGACACAGCACUCUGUUGGAGGAACAGUGACCCAGAACUAGCUCUGCAAGUUUAUUACGUAGGGUCUCAUCAUCAGGCAGUGAAACUCCAGGGCACUGUAAAUUUCAAGGUUGUGAGUUAUCAAGAGGCUUCUUUGUGGACUAAAAAGUUACAGAGCUAGAAACACUUGUGCAGUUAUCCUACUGUUCCAGUGCUGGGAACAUCCUGCUGCACCCAGGACGUCCAAAUCUACUGGAAGUCUGAUAACUGUUAGCAUCAGAGCUGAGUAGUCAAGGCUGAUAACAUCUUCAGCUCUUGGCAAGGAAUGUUUCUCAGGCUUGGCUUUUGCUGACACCCACAGGAUCAGGCUAUGGCUGGGGGCUCAUCUUCUCUCCACAAACUUUGAUCUAUGUUUUCCCGUAUUGUUAUGCUUGCAUAACAAUACAGAGGAGUUACAGAAAAAUGAAACUUAAAAGCUAAAUAAAAGAAGUCUGGACAUCUAGUCAGCACCACACAAUACUUCUGGACAGAAGGAUGGCUCAGGUGAGUCUUCAGAAAGGGUUUUAAAGCUUUCAUUUAAAAAGCAACAAUGACAGUCUGUUAGCAGGAAUAUGUCUUUUGUACUUGUUGGGUACAGCUCAGGUGUAGAGGGGACAGGGAUGGGGCGGGGCAGGUGGGCUGCAGGUAUGGGGCUCUUGAACAGCAGGAAAGGAACCAUGGUUUGGGUCCAAGAGCCCAGAGGCUUCCCUGCCUCAGCUGCUGUGUGGAGUUUGGUCUCCUGAGUGCUGGCUGCCUCCUGGCACCUCACUGAAGGCUUUACUUUACCCAAACUAGCCUUCAAGAAACAGGUUGUAAAGGAGGAAAUGGAGAAUGAGAUUCCAGUGAGGAUCAGAGUGGGGAGUGUCCAAAGGUGGAGGAGGGUUUUGAUUCCAAAGCCUUUAGUUUUGUGUUUAAUUUAAUUAAUUCCACAAAAAAUGUGAAUGUAUUUGCCUUAUUUAAGAAACCCAAAGCAGAAAAUCCAAGGGAGAUCAAGAGAGGAAAGGGAC